rnacentral:tRNA from 1 species
GCGGGCGUAGUUUAAUGGCAGAACUUCAGCUUCCCAAGCUGAUCGCGUGGGUUCGAUUCCCAUCGCCCGCUCCA